rnacentral:lncRNA from 1 species
AUGUUACAUUCCCCCAUGCAGGGUGUGGGGGUUCCAGUGAAUACACAUCCUUCCCUGCACUGGCAUGGUCCGUCCUGUACAUUCCAGUCUUUCCAGGUGGCGCUCAGUCCUUCCAGGUGGUGCUCAAUCCUUCCAGGAGGUACUGAGUCCUUCCAGGGGGUGCUCAGUCAUUCCAGGGGAUGCUCAGUCCUUCUAGGGAGUGCUCAGUCCUUCCAGGGGGUGCUCAGUCCUUCCAGGGGGUGCUCAGUCCUUCCAGAAGGUGCUCAUUCUUUCCAGGAAGUGCUCAGUCCUUCGUGGGGGUGCUCAGUCCUUCCAGUGGGUACUCAGUCCUUCCAGGAGGUGCUCAGUCCUUCCAGGGGGUGCUCAGUCCUUCCUGGGGGUGCUCAGUCCUUCCAGGAGGUGCCUGUGGUCCUCCAGGGAGUGUCUAGUCCUUCCUGGGAUGCUCAGUCCUUCCUGGGGUUGCUCAGUCCUUCCAGGGGUGCCUCAGUCCUUCCAGGGGGUGCUCAGUCCUUCCAGGAGGUGCUCAGUCCUUCCUGGGGGUGCUCAGUCCUUCCUGGGGGAUGCUCAGUCCUUCCAGGAGGUGCACAGCACUGUCCACUGUGGUUUGAAGUUGUGUUUCCUUGAUGAUGAAUGGUGCUGAGCAUCCAGUGUGUGCCUUACCUGGUCAGCCUGUGGUACUCUUUGGGGAAGUCUGUUCCAAUCCCUUGUCUCACAGGACUGUUCUUCUCUAUAUUUGGCUACACAGUUGCCAUUCUGGUGCUAUUUCUUUACUGUUGUGUCCAUUUGAUACAACUUUCCUUCUGCUUACAGAGUUUACUUUAACCUUACUUAACAUGUUGAGGAUGUUGAGGCAAGAGAAUAGGGAAUUAGGGUAACCAAGGGUUAAGGCAGAAGCAAAAGAGCAGCAGGCUCCGCCAGUUCCAGGCAAGACUGGGCAGCACACAGGCCGCAUCCCACCCCUGCGAUGACAAGACAGAAGCCUCCACGUCAGCCUCUGAUUGGCCACAGAUCAAUCCUUCAUAGGGUGUAACCAAUGGGAGGCCUCUAAAGGGCGCCUGGGGGUGUUACCAAAUAUUUUUGCUUUACAAAAACCCUGGGGAGCAUUGCAAGGUGGGGAUGGUGUCUUGAGCCACUUGCUCGAGCCCACUCCCGCUCUGCGGAACGUACUUCCGCCUCAAUGUAGCUGUGCUUUCGACUCAGCAAAACAGAAAUCAUGUUCCAAAUACGCACAAUGCUAAGAACAAACAGGAACACGCAUGACCUGCCACUGCAGCUGCACGUAUGAUUGGUUAUCCGGGGCCAAAAGGCCAUUCCCAGUAAGACUUUGGAAAUAUAUGUGUCUGCUUUUUAUAAUUGCUCCAUAUAUUGUGUUAUCAGACAAGAUAGUUAUUUAAGAAAUGGGAAUUGCAGAAAUGACUGCAGUGCAGCAGUAAUUAUGGUGCACUGUUUCGCUAUUUAACUUGGCUAGUUCUCCACGCUUGAAACAAUUCUGUGCCUUUUUUUUUUUAAUAGUAGAAAAUGCAGGCAAUGUUUUCACAAAAGUAAAUGUACAGUGAUUUGAAAUACAAUAGAUGAAGGCAAUGCAUGGCCUUCCAGUAAAAAUUUUAAAAAUAAAUAAAUAAAAAUCUGUGCUUUCGUUACCCCGUUCUUUCAUUGCUUGUCUUUCAUUGCUUCGUUCUUUUGUUGCUUUGUUUGUGCAUUUUGUUCAAUUCUUUGUUCAACACACCAAGAACCUGGACAACCCACAGUCAAGACAUUCUACCUGGUAACCAUGGGACAUCACUUUAACAAUUUCCGGGGGACGUGUCUGACGGCGAUGAACUCUUCCAAUUUUUGUGUUUCUGAAAAACUAAUUUCAUUCUUUUCUAAAGAAAAAAAUGUUUUCAUUGGGUAAAGAAUUUUAAAUUGGCUGGGCGCGGUGGCUCACACCUAUAAUCCCAGCACUUUGAGAGGCCAAGGCAGGUGGAUCACCUGAUGUCAGGAGUUCAAGACCAGCCUGGCUAACAUGGCAAAAUCCUGUCUUUACUAAAAAUUAACUGAGCGUGGUGGCACAUGCCUGUGAUCCCAGCUACUCAGGAGGCUGAGGCAUGAGAAUUGUUUGAACCCAGGAGGCGGAGGUUACAGUGAGCCAAAAUCGCGCACCAUUGCACUCCAGCCUGGACGACAGAGUGAGAGGGGAGCAACUGGGGGCUGGGCUAAAGGAGGCUUUGGCUGAGCCCCUCCGUGCCCAGGGUACAACAAGUGUCAGGACAGUACACAGGGACUUGCCUUAGGAAAGCCCACCCAGCCAGGUGCACGACUUGCAUGAAGAAGAUCAGAAAGUUUACUGAGGCACGGGAAGACUUCUUCCGGAGAUGGAAAGGAGACAAGCGCCCUGGACCACACUCUCCUCAGCGAUGGCCUGGAAGCCUCAGCCUGUACAGAAAGAAAGAAGAAAUAAAAGAUGUAAGGGUUGGAAGGGAAAAAAAUAAAGCUGUGGUUGUUCAUGGAUGACACAGCUGCAUACAGAGGAAUGCCUCAAGAAUAGAUAAACAACCUGUUAGAAUUAAUCAGUGGAGUUAUAAGGUCACUGGGGACAAGGUCAAUAUACCCAAAAAAAAUCCAUCAAGUGCUUGUAGACUAGCACAAACAGAACACAAAUUUUAAAAUUAUAUACCAUUUACAACAGUAUCUGUAUUAGUCAUUUUCAUACUGCUAUGAAGAAAUAUCCAAGAUGGGUAAUUUAUGAAGAAAAAGAGGUUUAAUGGACUCACAGUUCCACUUGGCUGAAGACACCUCACAAUCAUGCUGGAAGGUGGAGGAGAAACAAAGUCAUGUCCUACAUGGCGGCAGGCAAGAGAGUGUGUGCAGGGAAACUGCCCUUUAUGAAACCAUCAGAUCUCGUGAGACUUAUUCACUAUCACAAGAACAGCACGGGAAAAAUCCACCCCCAUGAUUAAGGUACCUCCCACCAGGACCCUCCCACACCACAAGUUGAUUAUGGGAGCUACAAUUCAAGAUGAGAUUUGGGUGGGGACACAACCAAACCAUAUCAGCAUCCAAAUAUUUAGAAACAAAUCUAACUGGAGAUGUGAAAGACCUCCACCUGCAAACUACACAGUGAAAUUAAACCCGUAAGUAAAUGGUUAUGCCAUAUUCCUGGAUUAGAAAAUUCAAUACUGUAAAAUGUCAGUUCUCCCCAAAUCAAUUUCUAGAUUCAAUGCAAUCCCAGUAAAAUUCCAAGUUGAGUUUGUUUAGGGUGGUUUUGUUUGUUUGUUUGGAGACAGGGUCUUGCUCUCAAGACCCUACGUCCUGGACAGGGUCCACCUAGGCUGGAGUACAGUGGCAUGAUCACAGCUCACUGCAACCUUGAAUUCCUGGGCUGGGGUGAUCCCACUUCAGCCUCCUGAGUAGCUGGGACUACAGGCACACACAAAAAUUUUUGUAUUUUUUAUAUAGACAGGAUCUUGCCUUGUUGCCCAGACUGGUCUCAAACGGCCAGGCUCGAGCGAUCCUCCCACCUCAGCCUCCCCAAGUGCUGGGAUUACAGGCAUGAGCUACCGCAAUAGGCCAAGUUUUUGUUGUUGUUUUUUGUUUUGUUUUGUUUUAAACUGAGCUGAGAAACUUCAAGUCACGGCUGGAGAAGAGUCAAGAUGGGUCCGGCCCCACCUCACCCCCACAGAGCCUCCUUGGCUUUAGGAAGGGCAGGGGUCCUUUCUCAGGCACUGGUGGCUGUGCUUUAAGCUACUGUGGUGGAGGCUGAGCCAGUCUCCCACCCACCUGGCUACCAGGAAGCCUCGAGUCUGUCCCUGCAGUCCCUCCUCCUGGGAGCUGCUGACCAAUCUAGGGUGUCCCCACCUGUUUUGCUUUCUGGGAAGAGUCUCCUCUCUGAGAAGCAAGACCCCCUAGAGAUGUGGUCGAUGCUGGCUCCGCCUGCCUGCCCUGCCCUGCCUGCACACCGUUCCGGGUGUCACCACCCCAGGCGACUGCAGGACCCUGGAUGCCCUGAGGUCCGAGAAGGCGGGAGGUCCCUGAGUCUUUUACUCCCCGGAGAUGAGCCUUCGUGGGGUUCUCAGGCCUGCUUCCUCCUGGGCCCCUUUUUCCUUUUUACUUCUACCUGGGGGUUGUGGUGCCGAAUGCCUCUUGGGUUCCAACGUCUGGUGCCGUCUCAGGAGUUCCACCGGCAGCCACCCGACGUGCGGUGACUGUAACAGGUUUGUGACCCCUGCCCUCCCCGCACGGCCUGGCACAUCGGCAGCCCUCCCGCGAGUCAGCUUGGGUGACUGUGACUGCCCUGGGCUCUAAACCCGGGGGUAUGGGCCAGGCGUCUGCCUGGGGAGGUGUGGACAGACGCAGGCAGGGUGGGGGGAGGCGGAUGUGUCCCCCACGAAGGACGCGGGGCGCGCGGGGCCUCCAGUCCCCGGCACCCUCCACCCCGAGCCCACGUCCCCACACGUGUCGUGCCCCGCCUCCCCAGCCUCCUGGGCCCCCAGCCGCCCCCGCGUCCUUUCCUACUGCCCCCCACCGUGCUUCCCAACUGCCCCCCACCGUGCACCCGGCAUCCCAGGCGCAGGUGCCCCGCCCCGGGCCUUACUCACGGAGUGGAGCCUGCUCGCCUCCCCGGACCCCUGCGCCUGGCUCCUCCUUGGCUCCCACGAGGCACAGCCUGUGUCCGCCCCAGCCCGCCGCGAACUCGCGCUGCAACCUGCCGCCUCGGCCCUGCCCCCAGGCCCGCCCCCGGCCCCGCCCCCAGCCCUCUGGCCCCGCCCCGCCCCUCUGGCCCCGCCCCUCCCCUGGCCCGCGGGGCGGCCGCGUGUUUUCUGUUCCCGUCUCUGCGGCCAGGUGGGGGCGAGUGCUCUGAGGUCAACCCUCGGCCACCUGGGAGCUGAGCGGUGCUG